rnacentral:rRNA from 1 species
AUUGAACGCUGGCGGCAGGCCUAACACAUGCAAGUCGAACGAGUGGCGGACGGGUGAGUAAUGUCUGGGAAACUGCCCGAUGGAGGGGGAUAACUACUGGAAACGGUAGCUAAUACCGCAUACCAUCGGAUGUGCCCAGAUGGGAUUAGCUAGUAGGUGGGGUAACGGCUCACCUAGGCGACGAUCCCUAGCUGGUCUGAGAGGAUGACCAGCGACACUGGAACUGAGACACGGUACAGACUCAUACGGGAGGCAGCAGUGGGGAAUAUUGCACAAGGGGCGCAAGACUGAUGCAGCCAUGCGGAGUGUAUGAAGAAGGACUUCGGGUUGUAAAGUACUUUCAGCGAGGAGGCGUUACUCGCAGAAGAAGCACCGGCUAACUCCGUGCCAGCAGCCGCGGUAAUAC